UCUUCGUCAUUCCCUCAUACAUAUUCCAGCGUCCACACUGGGGUUUCAGCGUGAUGUACCGGCGAGAGGUGACAGCGUCACUUCUUUGUGAACGAGCAAAGCAGCUACCUGGGAAACCAGAGUAAGAGUCGAGAAAUUGCUGUCCUUUGCAAAAGUGACAGUGACCACCAGGAUAGAUGCCCAGCGAAGGGCCCACGGCCAGUUGUCUGAGUUUCCUGGGGCUGCUGUGAGGAAGUGCCCAGACCAGGUGGCUGAAGCCACAGAACCGUGUGCUCUGGCAGCUGUGGAGGCCAGAAAUCCGAGAUGACGAUACCAGAGCCGUGGUUCCUCCUGAGGCUGUGAGGGAGCGUCCGUGCCGUGGCCCCCCGGCUUCCGGUGGCUUGCUGGCGAUCCUUGACGUUCAUUGGCUCCCGCUUCUUCCUGCCAUCUCUGCCUUCGUCUCAGCCUGGCAUUCCCUCUGUGCAAGUCUGUGUCCAAAUUUCCCUCUUUCGCAGGGACACCAAUAUUUGGGCAGGGUCCCACUCUACUCCACUAUGACCUCCCCUUCAUGCAUUAUGUCUGCAGUGACCCUAUUUCCAAGUUCCAUCACUUUCUGAAGCAUUGGAGGUUAGCAUUUCAACAUAGGAAUUGGGGAGGGACACAAUUCAGCUCAAAACACUCUGCCCCCUCCCCAAAUUCAUGUCCUUCUCAUAUGCAAAAUACGUUCACCCCAUCUUAUCAUCCCCAAGUGUUUCCAGAGAUGGCUGCACCGUGUCUCCCGUUCUACUGCAUUUUUGCAAUUUGACCUUGUCGUUUCCACAUUAUGAGGUAGACUCGUUUUCACCUCCUUUGAAUCCAGGCUGCUCCUGAGCUGUUGGAAUCCACAGAAUGUGGUGGGGAGGAUGCUAUGUAACUUCUGAGCAGGGCCCUGUGAGAUCUAGAGUUUCUGCACCCACCUCUUGGAAUGUCCUUUCCUGGGACCCAGUCUCCAUGUUGUGAAGCUCACGAUGCCACGUGGAGAAGCCUUCAUGGAAGACUUCACACAGCCUUGCUGAACUGAAGCCAGGGGUCCAGACUCAUUGCCAGCCGAGUGAGUGGGAACAUGCUGGAAACUUCAGCUAUCACAGCACUUUCUACAAUAGCCACCACAUAAAGCAGAAGCACUCUCUGGUCACACAAAGAAUUAUAACUUAUAAUAAAUGGUUGUUUAAGCUA